CCGGUACUCAUUAAGGCUGAGCUGUGAUGGGGAGAAGACAUUGUGUCUUCGAGUCGUUGAUUUCACACUGCCGAGAAAAGCCUCUAGAUAGAAAAUAGGUGCCCGUACCGCAAACCGACACAGGUAGUCAAGAUGAGAAUUCUAAGGUGAGCGAGCGAACUCUCGUUAAGGAACUCGGCAAAAUGACCCCGUAACUUCGGGAGAAGGGGUGCUCUUUAGGGUUAACGCCCAGAAGAGCCGCAGUGAAUAGGCCCAAGCGACUGUUUAUCAAAAACACAGGUCUCUGCUAAACCGUAAGGUGAUGUAUAGGGGCUGACGCCUGCCCGGUGCUGGAAGGUUAAGAGGAGUGGUUAGCUUCUGCGAAGCUACGAAUCGAAGCCCCAGUAAACGGCGGCCGUAACUAUAACGGUCCUAAGGUAGCGAAAUUCCUUGUCGGGUAAGUUCCGACCCGCACGAAAGGCGUAACGAUUUGGGCACUGUCUCAACGAGAGACUCGGUGAAAUCAUAGUACCUGUGAAGAUGCAGGUUACCCGCGACAGGACGGAAAGACCCCGUGGAGCUUUACUGUAGCCUGAUAUUGAAAUUCGGCACAGCUUGUACAGGAUAGGUAGGAGCCUUUGAAACGUGAGCGCUAGCUUACGUGGAGGCGCUGGUGGGAUACUACCCUAGCUGUGUUGGCUUUCUAACCCGCACCACUUAUCGUGGUGGGAGACAGUGUCAGGCGGGCAGUUUGACUGGGGCGGUCGCCUCCUAAAAGGUAACGGAGGCGCUCAAAGGUUCCCUCAGAAUGGUUGGAAAUCAUUCAUAGAGUGUAAAGGCAUAAGGGAGCUUGACUGCGAGACCUACAAGUCGAGCAGGGUCGAAAGACGGACUUAGUGAUCCGGUGGUUCCGCAUGGAAGGGCCAUCGCUCAACGGAUAAAAGCUACCCCGGGGAUAACAGGCUUAUCUCCCCCAAGAGUUCACAUCGACGGGGAGGUUUGGCACCUCGAUGUCGGCUCAUCGCAUCCUGGGGCUGUAGUCGGUCCCAAGGGUUGGGCUGUUCGCCCAUUAAAGCGGUACGCGAGCUGGGUUCAGAACGUCGUGAGACAGUUCGGUCCCUAUCCGUCGUGGGCGUAGGAAAUUUGAGAGGAGCUGUCCUUAGUACGAGAGGACCGGGAUGGACAUACCUCUGGUGUACCAGUUGUCGUGCCAACGGCAUAGCUGGGUAGCUAUGUGUGGACGGGAUAAGUGCUGAAAGCAUCUAAGCAUGAAGCCCCCCUCAAGAUGAGAUUUCCCAACUUCGGUUAUAAGAUCCCUCAAAGAUGAUGAGGUUAAUAGGUUCGAGGUGGAAGCAUGGUGACAUGUGGAGCUGAUGAAUACUAAUCGAUCGAAGACUUAAUCAA
rnacentral:rRNA from 1 species